rnacentral:rRNA from 1 species
CGGACGGGUGAGUAACACGUGGAUAACCUACCUAUAAGACUGGGAUAACUUCGGGAAACCGGAGCUAAUACCGGAUAAUAUAUUGAACCGCAUGGUUCAAUAGUGAAAGACGGUUUUGCUGUCACUUAUAGAUGGAUCCGCGCCGCAUUAGCUAGUUGGUAAGGUAACGGCUUACAAAGGCAACGAUGCGUAGCCGACCUGAGAGGGUGAUCGGCCACACUGGAACUGAGACACGGUCCAGACUCCUACGGGAGGCAGCAGGC